GGUAUAUUAAAUCAUGCUGAAUACCUUCUUGCAAUAUUUACACUUUAAUGAUAACCAAGCGUGUGUGCCGAAUACUGUGGAUUGUGAGCAUGCAGCACCAGAACCAGAAAACCUGUGAGGAGGCCAAGCUCUGUGAUAUCUUCCCCCUGCCACUUGCAAUGCAGUGGCCAGGACCCUUUCUGGUCCUCCCAAUAUUCAUCAGAAGCAACUUAGAAGGAAUGAUGCAAGAAUAAGUGUAUUACUGCGUGAGCUGUCACCAGUUGUGCCAAGGACUGUGGAUUGAAAAGUCAGGGGGGAAAAAAAGCAUUAAAAAUACCACUGCUAUGUUGCCCUGUGGGCUCACAGAAAUGUGACACAGAGAAGAAUUAGCCUUCUACGGUUUCAUGUUUCCCUGACCUUUUAAGAGGGGAAGAAAAAUCCAGAUCCAACUUCUGCUCCUACUUACAAUGCUGAAAGUACAGAGCAAAUGUAAUACGCUGUCUCCUGAGGUGCGAAAGCAGAGUUUCACAUUGUCUACUGAAAAGCAGAGAGAGAGCUGAGGUGUAAAGAUAAUUUAACAAAAGCUGUGUGAGUUCAAAGAUAAACCUCCAUCCCAGGCAAAUGUAGUUAUAGGAGUUUGAGUGUAAUUUUGGUGUUUAAGGAGAUCCAUUCAACCUGCUCUGGUGGGAUUUCUGCCUUGAUGUCAGUGUGAGGUAAAGCAGAAAACACGUGCCCUCAUAGGUGUGAGCCAGGGAUGUGCCACAGGGAGGACUCCUGGGCACCAGCACUGCCGCUGACAGCUUCUGGCAGUGGCAACUACUGCUGAUGCAUGUGGCAGGGAUGCUGUGACAGCACCUGCAAUCACACCACUUGACACUUGGGAAGGCCUUGAACCAUUGGCGUUAAGCUUGCACGUGCUACUUGAUAUGAAAACAAUUCCAGUUAGAAGAAAUUUCAGAAUUGUUAUUUUCGCUUAUGCAGCUGUUGACAAGCAAAACCUGCUUGGAUUCUACUUUAAUAACCUGCUGUGUGCUUCAGCAGGUUUUCUUUCUUUUGGCUUGGUUUCUUGGUUUUAUUUCCCACCUUCCACUAAAGGAAGUUUUUAUCUCAGAGAAAAUACAGGAGGUGGGCUGCAUCCUACCAGAAAUCCCACAUUGCCUGGCAGAAGCUCAUAGACAUGAACCAUCACAAUGAAUGCAAUACUGCACACAAGUAGCUUUUUUUACAAGCACAAGGUUGUUAAGCAAAGGAUGAGAAACAUGUGGAACACACUGCAGUUUGCCAGUGUAUGGCUGGGUUCCCAGGUCCGUGUACGUUCUUGCAGACAGGCUGCAGUUGUCAUGAUGCUAUUGCCAGGGAAGAUGUAAACAAAAGGAAACCUCUUGUCAAGUUUGAAGCAUUAGGUUAGUAAUACAAAAGAGUACUUCAUGGAAUCUUUCAGAUUGAUACACGCCAUCUAUUUGUCAGAGAUGUUUUUGUCUUAUGUGUAGUCAUACAGCCUCUUUGACGUAAGUCACCAUUUUUUAACAUUUUUUAAGUAACAGCAAUACUUACUAGGUGGUGAAACAGGGUAAUGAGCAAGAUCAGAGGAUCCUCUUGCAGAAGAGCAUGACUUAAAAUCCAUGUGUUUUAGGCAAAGCACUUCUGGAUUCACUUGAAGACUGACACAUGGACAUGUUUCCAUUGAAGUUGCUACAGGUUUGUCUUUAUGUAGGCCUCCACUAAAUUUUAUAGCUGGCAAUUAGUCUGGGAUGAAGUCUGGUUUCUCUCCCAACACUGCACAUGCAAUUGUGUAACCACUAAAAUUCCAAGCCUGGUUCUUAUGCUGGAUUAAAACAGUAGAUAGCGAGAUGAAAAGUCAUCCUUUCAAACUGUUCUUUCCCACUAUGACAGCUUACUUCAUGGAAGCAGCAGCCAUCUGACCUGGAUUACUUUUGGGUUGUGUUUCAUGCACACCACAUUCCCCUAGAAUUGCCACUGCUCCAAUAGCAAUGCCCUGCUCUGUGCAAGGCCUGCUGUUGCCCAGGGGCUUGUAUAUCUCUCUGCCCUCAGCUGGCACCAUGAUACUGCCCUGUGGCUGAUGCUGCCUCUGAGGUCUGCGGAAAUUGUAGAAUUGUGGUUAUGGUGGCACUGAAGCACUGGGAAGGGAUGGCACAUAUUUAAAAACUAUUUACUGAAACGUUGCUCUAAGGUGGGAAGGGAUUUCUCCCUUAAGGUGUGAUUGUCCCACAGCGUAGCAAAAUGCCAUCUCAGUUUUACAGCAUCAUCUGUGAGCUGUCUGGCCCAUAUAAUUUUUUCCCAUUUUGUUGUCAAUUACUGACUGGAGAGAUGAAGAAUGACACAUGCUUAAGUGCAUCAGUUAUCUCAAAUUCCUUCCCCUUAGGUCUAGCUUAGCCAAGAUUUACCAGAACAGUCUAUAAAAUGAAUAAGUUUCAGGGUUUUUUUUUGUUUUUCAGGUGAUAGGAGUUUUCUUUGGAAGACUGACAAAAGCACUGGAGCACAAGCUGGAGAGGUGAUGACUUACCUGCCACAGCUCGGUAGAUCGCAAUCUGGAACUGGCAGAGUGUUAACACAAUGCCCCAGCAGAGCUUUUCUGUCUCUAAUUUCAAUGAUUAUGUUGUUACUGGAUCAGUGAAGAGAACCAUGAAAAACACAAUUACCAGGAAGCCCUGUUCCUUCGCUCGCCUCUUUGUCUCACUGCGAAUGGGGCAUGUGACUGACGGAGCAAUAGAGGACCCGCUGUAAUCUCACGCACGACCGAGAAGGGUGCUGUCCGCCGAUGGGACCCGAGCGUGGGAAAGCCUCCCUGCCGGCUGCAAGGGCCAGUCACGUCAUGUUCUGCAGCUGGCAUCCAAAUGCAUCCUGAUGAAUCGAGUGAGAGCAGCUACCUUCUCCUGCCACAGCGGUGGCCGAGCGGCCGUGCAGAAGAGGGGCUGUAAAAGCCUCCCCGCAUGCAAAAGCACCGGGAAGGGACUAUGUUGUGAAUGAGCUUACUGUGACAGCACAGCAAUGUUUUAUAGGUCACUGGCAUAGCAUCAGACUAAAGGGAGAGGGGAUGAGUAUCUUUCAGCUGUGAGUGCUGCUCUCAGGUUUGCUCAGUGCAGGACUGUGGCUAGUGGGCCUGACCCAACCCUGUUAUGUGAUGCAUGGUGGGAAAAGAGAAAUUCACUUGCUCUCUGCACUCCAAAUCACAUAUAAACCUAUGACCUCAACAACAAAUACCAGUAGCAGCAAAGCAGCCAAUAUUUUUAUCAUUAAUUGCUAUCAGAAAUGUCAGCUCAAAGUCAUCAGAUUUGAUAGGCGAGCAUGCUCCAAACUGACAGGUGAAGUGAAUUAUUUGCCUAUUGCGUGAUGCAAAAACAAUGUCUUGCAGGAGAGAACAGACAUUGGCAAACAAACUGACAACGAGAUACACUUCUGGGGAAGGCUUCUGAUUUGAUCUGGAAGGAAACAUUGAGUAUAAAUACAGAGAAAGUUUACCUGCAUGAAAGGCAGGGUUGAGCCCUGGACUUCCUUACUCUUCUGGAGAACAGUGUGAAACAUACCUGCUAUUGUACUCCCUUUGAGCUGUUCUCAUUGCAAAAGGAUACCAGACACCUCAGAAAGUUUUUUAAGUAAUAAAGCAUUUUUUGCACUUGUCCCUGGUGCAUCCAUUUAUCAGUGACUAAUGAGCACAUAAAUCCUCGUAUGUGAAGAAAAAUCCGUUUAUCUUGGUGUUAAGCAGAAUUUUCCCUGCCCAUGGAUCUGCAGCACAAAUCUUUCUGGUCUUUCUGUGCUGAGGGUCUAAGCAUGGGCAGGCAGUACACGGUGCAGCACUGGCACAUUAAUUAUGUAACUACUAGGUACUACAGAUUGAAUCAGGACCUGUUUAAAUACUGGUAUAACCAUGAACAUCAUCCAGGACAUGUUUCUGUGCGAUUUAAUGACUGCCUUUAUUUCACACAGUGGGAAAAACCCCAUCUGGAAGCAGGAUUCCAGUGAAGGGAAAGUUAGCUAUGCCUGCCAGGGAUCUCUUUUGCCCCCAAAAAUUCAGACAUCACGGGACAUAAGCAGAAAAUGAAAGAGAACCAGCAAGGGGAAAACCAAACAGGCUGGGGUCUUCUUGCCACUUCUUUUGAAGUCCCCAGUGUAACUCCUGGCAUCUUCAGUGGGGUUUGGCUGGGUUCUGUGCAGAAGCGCCUUUGAAGAUUUUGCUAAGGCUCAAGGCCUUGAUCAUGGCAACUUUUAUGCCUGGGAGCAACUCUGUGCAGAUGAACACUUCCAGGGUGCUCAGCAGGAUGCUUUGGAUGAGACUUUGCAGGGCUAGUCUUAAGCAAUGAGAGCUUAAGAGAAAUAUUGUGGUUGUCGUGCUUUUAUCCUUGACCACAUCAAAUGAAAUGCCUUGGCAGUUCUGGAAGAAUGAAUUUUCAUUGAAAACCCACAGCUCUUACAAGCAGUGCAUUAAUUAUUUUAUUAAUUUGCUCUUUUUACAUUAUGGGAAACAUUCAGCUAUUUACAUUUUCCUGUCCACACACAAACCAGAUAGAUAAUCCUAUAGAAACCCAAAUCAUUAAGCCAUAAAAACACUCUUUUCUGUCUAAAGGCUUUCAAAUUUGUGUCUUUUGUUUCAAAUCAAAAACAUUUUUAAAAUCACAUUUGGGAAUGCAGGUAGGCCAGUGAUUUACAUUCUACUUAAAAUAUGCAUUUGACUGUUUUCCUUAAAAAAAACCCCAAAAACCAAGAAACCAAAACCCCCAAUAAAUCCACAAAGAUACAGCUUAAAUUAAAAUGAUAGUGCACAUCAAAGCAUUAAGGGAACACCAAUAAAUAAAAUGAAAUAUAUUACAAAUAAAUUAUUUCUAUUUACCUUUUCAAAUAUUAAAAAUCUUUAAUCCAUUUCUUCAUCUUUCUUUACAAAAAGAUUAUGAGAAUUUUAUGGAAACAUCUGCAAAAAAUAUAAUAAAUACCUCUUUUUUAUUUUUUAAGCUUUUGAAGCAGGAGACAAAACCAACCUUUUCUAAAAUUUCCCCCAAGAAAAAAAAAAAAGCAACAGUUUAGUCCCAAAGUGAAACAGAAUAUAGGCAUUUUUAAAAUAUACUGGGCAUUUUAGACUAAAAACAAAUAGUUACAAAUUAUACUAAAACAGAUGAUGGAGCAAAUAUACUAGCAUUAGUUUUUGUAAAUGAGUCAAGUGGUUAACUAGUGGCAUCCUAUGGGCACAAUUAUUAUAUUUUGCAUUUUCUGGUAUUGGCUGUAUUUUUAAUAUUUUGCUAAAAAACUAGGCAAACAUUAUAAUAACCUCUCCGGUGCCAAACGAACUAACAAUCAUUCAGCUAAGAUAAAUUCAUUUAAAAUAGAUACAAAAAAUAUUCUAUGAUAUACAAAUACAAUAAUUUGUAAUGUACAAGACUAGAUAGUCUUCACUUUUCUGCUUUUUUAGGGGGGAACUUGCUGGAUAUAAAUUUCUGUAGCCACUUGUCAACCAAAGUCUUAACUCAUCUUUCGUAAAACGUUCACAAAACUAAGUAAGUCUGCAACACAGUUGUGAAUGUGGACUCUCACCUAGGUACUGCUUUGAAUAAUUCAGUACAAAUGAGUUCCAAAUAAUUAAUACUUCCUAUGACUAUAUAUGCUCAAAAGUGGCAGUUGGCACUAUUACAUACUGCAAACACGGUGAUGUUUUGUUGCUGCUAAAAGUUAAACGCAGUGUUUCAAAACUAGCAAAUACACUGGUAUUCAAACGCUUAGAGGGUCAAACCUUUUGAAGCUCCUGUAACAGCAAGCACUCUAGAGUUACACUGGAUUUCUCAUUACUCUAGUUAAAAGUCUUUUAUAUAUUAAAUUAUUAGCCCUUAUCUUGUAAACCACAGCAGUAAAUAUUUGUGCCCUGUUUAUAAAGACAUAGCUCAGAUAUCGAUGGCUUUGAGAGGUAGCAAAUUCUCUAGUGGUUUUAGUAUGCUCUCAUGAAAAUACUUGGUGCCAGAACCUAUUACCUCUCCUAUUUUCUCAAAAAAAAUUAAAUAAGCACCUGGCUAUGAUGUCAUAGGAAAAGAAGCUGUCUGGCAUGGUCUCGAUGGAUACUUUUAGCAAGAGCUUAAUUUUUCAAUGACGAUUUUCAACGCUUUUUAAGUGCAAGCUGCAGAAUUACACCACAUGUGUAGUGGGCUAUUUACUGGUUGGACUGUCCAUACAGGUUGA